UCUGCCCUGUUCUAUCCAUUUAGCUGCCAGAUUUUAACCCGACCUUUGAGAGCUGAUGCAUCCUUGUGGUGAAGAGACCGAGCUACAAAGCCAGGCGUCCCUGAUUUGAAUCUUGCCUCUCCCAGGAACUCAUCAGGAGGCCUGAAGCAAGCCGCCCACAGCUGCAAUAAGGGGAAGAGGCAAACGGGCUGCAGUCUUAGGAGAGAGAAGCAGGUCUUCUGUCAUUUGCACCGGGAUACGGAGGUGGCAAUUAGGGAGAAAUGACCUGCAUGCUUUGGAAUUUCUACCACAGCCUUUCUAAGAUUCUUCAACCCAAAGAGCACUCUGCUUUCUGAAGAUGGUCUCCUGGUUUCUCCGUCUGAAGAAGACGGAUCUAUUGCUGCCAGUCUGCAUUACUGAAAACUCUCCUAGUUCAUGCCUUCUCGUUUUGUCUCCAAAAGGUGCUAAUUGAAUUGCCAAGCAUUUGGAUAAAAUUAAGUCAACGCACAUUGCUUGUUGAAAGCAUUUGCAAAUGGAUGAGCUGCAGAGAAAAAUUAAGCAGCUCUCUCCAGCAGGUUGCUGAAUCGCGCUGAGUUCUCUGGCACAGAUUUUACUAAACAAAACCUGCAGCCUAAUUCUCAUUUCUACUGCCAAUGGCUGACACACCAAUCUCCCACAAUCCAGGGCACCUCACUGCGGAUUGUUCUGACACGGAAUAUAAUAGUUUCAAUUGUUGGCUGCUCCAGAAAAUAUGAACCCACCAAGAUAGAGAGGAAACUGCCACAAUGAGAGGAAGAAAGGGGAGAGGUUUAUAAUUUUAUUUAAAAUAAACUUUUAAUGGACUACACAGGCACAAUUACUGCUCAUUCUUUCAGACAUAAGCAGUGGCACACAUCACUGUGACAUUAUUAUUAAUAAUAUAAAAAGGAACAUUUGAAAGCUGAGAAAAAUAAUCACACAAAUCACUUAAAUAAAACAGAGACAAUAUUGCAGUGCAAAAGAACAGAAAGGUUCAGUUUA